AGCGAACGCUAGCGGGUGGCUUAACACAUGCAAGUCGAGCGGGGUCUUCGGGCCCAGCGGCGAACGGGUGAGUAACACGUAGGAUAUCUGCCUUUUGGUGGGGCAUAGCCGGGGGAAACCCCGAUUAAUACCGCAUAUGGCCUAAGGGUCAAAGCCUUCGGGCGCCAAGAGAGGAGCCUGCGGCCCAUUAUUUAAUCCUAGUUGGUGGGGUAAUGGCCUACCAAGGGUACGAUGGGUAGCUGGUCUGAGAGGACGAUCAGCCACACUGGAACUGAGACACGGUCCAGACUCCUACGGGAGGCAGCAGUGGGGAAUAUUGCGCAAUGGGCGGAAGCCUGACGCAGCCAACCCGCGUGUGUGAUGAAGGCCUGCGGGUUGUAAAGCACUUUCAGUAGGGAGGAAACAGUAGCCGGUUAAUAUCCGGUUGCCUUGACGUUACCUACAGAAGAAGCAACCGGCUAACUCUGUGCCAGCAGCCGCGGUAAAGU
rnacentral:rRNA from 1 species